rnacentral:rRNA from 1 species
UACAGAGGUCCCGAGCGUUGUUCGGAUUCAUUGGGCGUAAAGGGUGCGUAGGCGGCGAGGCUAGUCUGAUGUGAAAUCCCGGGGCUCAACCCCGGAACUGCAUUGGAUACUGCCUUGCUAGAGUACUGGAGAGGGAACUGGAAUUUACGGUGUAGCAGUGAAAUGCGUAGAGAUCGUAAGGAAGGCCAGUGGCGAAGGCGAGUUCCUGGACAGUGACUGACGCUGAGGCACGAAGGCCAGGGGAGCAAACGGG